rnacentral:lncRNA from 1 species
GGCCAUUGCUGUGCGCGCGCGCGCGGGCAUGUGCAUGGUUCAGGGAAGAGGCUGCAUUUCACAGAGACUCUGUCCCAGGAGGUAGGCAUUUUUUCUUUUCUUUCUUUCCUUCCUUCCUUCCUCCCUUCCUUCCUUCCUUCCUAACUUCCUUCCUUCCUUUUUCUUUCUCUCUCUUUUCUUUUCUUUCUUUCUUUUUUUUUGACAGAGUCUUGCUCUAUCGCCCAGGCUGGAGUGCAGUGGCGUGAUCUCGGCUUAUUGUAACCUCCACCUCCCAGGUUCAAGCAAUUCUCGUGCCUCAGCCUCCUGAGUACCUGGGACUAGGGGUACGCACCACCACGCCCAGCUAAUUUUUGUAUUUUUAGUAGAGAUGGGGUUUCACCAUGAUGGCCAGGCUGAUUUCGAACUCCUGGCCUUAAGUGAGCCUCCUGCCUCGUUCUCCCAAAGUGCUGGGAUUACAGGCGUGAGCCACCAUGCCCAGCCGGCAUUUUCAUCUGGACUCUGCCAUGGGGCUCAGCAAAUCAGAUGUGACCUGGUGACAGGUGCCAAGAAGGUCUGGCGACCACAGGUUUCUUGUCGGUUUCUGCCUGGGACCCCCGCACCUCCCUACCAGUAUUCCCAACCCAACGAAAGACCGGCCAAGUACAAACCAAGGGCAGCCCUGAAGCCCAGGACCAUGAGGCCUGGAAGGCCCCAGGACAGGUGAUUUGUGGCCCUGGUGUCUCAGGUCAGGAGCAGGGCAGAGCCACCUUCCUCCCUCCCUGUGCGGGGCUGCAUGAGCUCAGGGACCUUUGGACCUGAGAAAGGUCAGGCUCACUUCCUCCCCGUGCCUGCGGUUGGCCGCAGGGGGAAUAUUCUCCUGACCCGAGUCCCGAAGCCCUGGGCGUGGAGUUUCCCUGGACUGGGAGAAAGUAAACACCGAGGGACUUGCCAAGAGGAAAUGGAGAAGCCCAGGUGUUCUGGGCGGAGCUGAGUGUCCCGCAGGGGGUUCCGCAGCUCCUCGCCUCUGGAAGACCAAGGACAGCUUUCCCCAGGGCUACAGCCUCACGCUCCCCUCCCAUCGUGGCUGGGCCUUUACUUGGGGGUGAGUGUCCUACAGACGAGGGGCUUAAAGCUACAGGAAUGCCUCGUCUCGCAGAGCUGGAGGCUGGAAGGCAGAUCGGCCUGUGAGGGCCGCGGUCACUCUUGGUCCUGAGCCCUCCUUGUCCGGCUGCUGGUGUCACGGGCACUCCUUGGGGUUCCUUGGCUUGUGGGAGCAUCGCGCCGGCCCCGCCUCUGUCAUCAGGCCGCCUCCCCUUCUCUUCUCGAAGGACACCUGCUACGGCGAGGGCCUCUCCAGGAUGACCUCAUCUCGUUCUCCACUAAUCACAGCUGCAAAGAUUUAUUUCCAAAUAAAGUCGCCUUCUUGGGUUCCAGGGGACCUGAUUUUGGGAGGCGCUGUUCCCCCAGCACAGGGAUACAGCAGGCCCUUGGCCUCAUCGGACAUCUGGUGCCCGCGCGCCCUCUCACUCACGUUGUCCAGGCCUCUGCCCUUCUCAACACCCGGACGUGGGCGUUCAGGUGUCCUUCCUGCCCUGGCGUAUGCCCCACUUAGCUGAGUGGGGGGCUUAGACCUCCGCCCCAUCUGCAGUCCUCCUGGGGCCUGCCAAUCAGACCCCCUGCAGCUGCAUGGUCUUGGGGCAUUGCUGUAAGGCCCUGGGGCCUUUCUGAAUCCAUCUGCAAGCUGGAGCUGAGUCCAGGAGCUGAGGCCGGGAGCAGGAGGUGAGGUUGCUAGCUGAGGCUGGGAGCAAGAGCUGAGGCCACUGGAGCUGAGGCUGGGAGCUGAGAUGUGGAGCUGGGGCUGAGGCUGGGAGGAGGGGUUGAGGAUACCUGGAGUUUGGGAGCUGGGCUGAGAGGCCAGGGAGGAGAGCCCUGCCACCACCCUGCUGCCCCCCCUCGCCACCCCCCUGCUGCCACCUUGCUGCCACCCUGCCUCCUGUUCCCAGCCCUCUGGCCAGUCCCUGUGUUCGUUUUCUGUUUUCUACUUACCAGAAACUUAGCAGCUUGAAACAGCACCCGCUCGGCACACAUUCCUUUUGGGAGUGUGAAAUGGUGCAGCUGCUGUGGGAAAUGGUCUGGUGAUUCCUCGCAAAGCUAAACAAUUGCCAUAGCACCCUGCAGUUCCACACCUGGGGAUGCACAGCCAGAAAUGAAGACGGGUGUCUGAGCAAAAACUCGGACAUGAGUGUUCACAGCAGCGUUAUUCACAGUAGCUAGAAGGUGGAAACAACCCAAGUGUCCGUGGACCGAGGAACAGAUCAACAGGCCACGGCGCACGCACGACGGAGUAUUGUGCAGCCAGAAAAAGGGUGAAGCUCCCUUACACAUUAUGGCGUGGGUGAGCCUCAGAAACAUGGUGCUAAGUGACUGCGUUUAUAUAAAAAGCUUGCACUGAUGUAAAGUGUCUAGAGUAGAGAAACCCAGGAGAUGAAGUGGAUUCGUGGCUUCCAGGGCCUGAGGGCAGAGGGAAGGGACCGGCUGCUGAUGGGUCUCCGUUUGGGAAGAUGAACGAGUUCUGGAGCUUGCUUGAGGCAGUGUCUGCACAACAGUGUGAGUGCACGGAAUGUGGCUGAAUUGGACUCUUUAAAAUAGUUCAGGUGGGCAAUGUUAUGUUAUGUGUGUUUUACUACCAUACAAAUAAGUAAAUAAAUGGACAAGCCUGCACCAUCUUGUAGCUCACACCUGCAGGUCAGGAGCCGGCCUGGGUCCCCUGCUGGGGCCUCACCUGGGGCUCAGGCCUCCUCCCAGGCUGGUUCAGAAUCCAGGUCCUUGUGGGUGUGGGACUGAGGUCCCCGUUUUCUCGCAGCUGUUGUCAGGGACUGCCCUCAGCUCCUAGGGCUUUCUCUCGGGUCCCUGCCUGGUGGCCUCUGGUGGCCCCUCCAUCUUCAAGCAGCAGGGGCCGGUGGAGUCCCCCCAUGAGUGGCUCUUUCUGGCCAUCCCUUCUGCACCCGCCAGAGGAAACUCCGCUUCUAAAGUGUUGGUGUGAUGAGGUCAGGCCCGGAGGCACCUCCCUGUUUUAAGGUCAGCGGGUUGGUGAACUUCACCAUGCCUUCAGAAUCCCUCUGCCACACAACACAGCCGUCUUGGGAGUAACACUGGAGGCAGAGACCACGGGCGACCUCCAAGAUCUGCUUACAACAGUCGUUUCAACAGAGUUGAGUCAGCUUGGGGCUUCUCCGAGUGACUGUGCACAGGGGUCCUGGGGCUUCUCCGAGUGACUGCGCGCAAGCGUCCUGGGACUUCUCCAAGUGACUGCGCACAGGCAUCCUGGGGCUUCUCCGAGUGACUGCGAACAGGCGUCCUGGGGCUUCUCUGAGCGACUGCGCACAGGCGUCCCUGGGGUCCCUGGGGUUAGGAUGCUGGCGCUGGCUCAGCAGGUCUGGGAAGGGCCAGGAUUCCAGUGCCCAGGCUACCGUCCAGGUCCACACCAUGCCCCAAUGGACGCUCUCCAGCCCCUCCCUGAGGCUGGGGCCAUGGGAUGAGCUCAGUGGCAUCCAGAUCAGAGUCCACCCCCUCCACACCUUGCCAUGGUCCUGAUGUCACCAAGUGCAUUGUAGCCCUAACCCUCGUGGACCCCCCUUCAUGGGGUGGUGCAGGCAGCGUGUUCUCUGAGGGUAAGGACAGGGCCCAACAGGGGCUGCCCCAAGGAGCCAGUGGAGCCAUGGUUCCCCACCUGCCCACUCGUCUGCCCACCCUCCCCUGAGUGGAGGCAGAGGAGCUGAGAACGGCCUGCCGGCCAGCCCUGGGAAAACCAGGUUCCUUAUGGUCUGCUCAGCCAUAGAGCCGGAGGCCCCUCCCAGCAGCCCCUGCCUGCCCACUCUGCCAGAGCUUCUCCAUGCAACUUUUCUGCAGCAUAGUCCUGUUGCACAAACACCUCUCUCUGCUUUUUCCUUUCUUUUUUUUUUUUUUAAUUUAACCAUAUCUGCUGUAUCAUACAAGCACUCAGGAUCUUGGUUGCAAUGAAUGGAAACCUAUGCUAAAUAACUUUCUCAGAGGGCUCUUGGGGCUCUGGAAACCAGACAGAAGGCUGGAGAAUGAGGGCUGGGCAUAGGCAGGUCCAGGGAGGCCAAGAGGGCAGCCUGGCUGUGAGGCAGCUGCUGGUACAGCCCAGACUGUCCCUGCUUCUGGGUCACUUGCUCCAGACCCAAAGUUCUGCCCAGGAAUGUCUGGUGGUCAAACUCCAGCCAUGUGGCUCCCUCUUUUCAGAGGUGAACUCAGUCUUCACUGAUAAGGGUAAGGUUCCUGGUGAAUCCUGCAGCUUGAAUGUCCAUCCCCAUGAAUCCGAGCUGAGCCUGCAGGGCUCCCAGCCCCAGGCCUCCACGGAGAGGAGAUGAGCCAGCCCUGCUGAGCCCUGCCCAAACUGCACAUGCGUGAGUUAAAGAAACGGCUAUUACUGUUUAAAGCCAUGCAGUGUUGGGCUGGUUUGUUAAAUUGAAAUAGAUUACCCAGGCUAGGUGCAGUGGCUCACACCUGUAAUCCCAGCAUUUUGGGAGGCUGAGGCGGGUGGAUCAAUUGAGGUCAGGAGUUUGAGACCAGCCUGGCCAACAUGGUGAAACCCCAUCUCUACCGAAAACUAUAAAAAAUUAGUUGGUAUGGUGGCAUGCACCUGUAAUCCGAGCUACUUGGGAGGCUGAGGCAGGAGAAUCACUUGAACCAGGAGGUAGAGGUUGUAGUGAGCCGAGAUCGUGCCACUGCACUCCAACCCCAGUGACAGAGUGAGACUGUCUCAAACAAACAAAAAUCACCCAACACCACAGAUGAUCAUCAAGUUCAUGAAGACGGACCUUCAGUUUGCAGGGGCUGUGUGUCCAUUUCAUUGGCUUGGGUCUCCUUUUUUAUCCUCAAGGGACUCCCAGGUGUUCCGAUGCCCUGGCACUGAGGACUCAGGCCAUGCCCUGGCCCACACCCUGCCCUGCAUGUGUUGCAGCCUGAAGUGGUCCACUGGGCCUGGCAUGUCUCAAAAGCCAAAAGGGAACAAUGCUUCCCGGCUCCACAUUCAGUGACAGCACGUCAGCAGCUGGAAGCCAGCAUCAGUGGGGGUGUUUACACCAUGGGAAUGGGCCCACUCCACAGACUAGCGCUGUACCAAGAGAGCCAGUUUGGUUUCUGGGGGUCGUGGGGUUAGGUCCUCAUGCUUCUCUCGGACCCACCCCCUAGAAAUGUCCCCACCCAACCCCCACUGUAGCCUGGAUGGACGGGGAUGAGCUCUGCGGGGCUCCCGCCUGAGCCAUCUUGUCUUCAGCUGCGUUUGGGCUCUGAGCUCCAGCCAUGCUGGCUCCAUGACCCAGGAUGGGAUUCAUGCACUAACGUGAAGAGAGCAAUCUCCUGAACAGAGGAAGGAGUGGGCCCUGGAGGAGCCGUGGCCCUGGGUGGUGGCACCAGGCAGCUGCAGGACCAGGGGCAGCGGUGAGGCACGAAGCCUCAGACUGGGUGUGGUUCCCACUCGUUCUUGCCGGAGAAACCUGCCUUUUCAAGCAUAAUUCAAUCAAAAGGCCUUUUGUGGAGCCCAAACUAGAAGGCUUUGGGUUCCAGCACUGUGCCUCAGUUUCCUCAUCUGGAGCAUAAGGAUGGGACCGUCACUGGGUGUAGAUGUGGGGUCCCGGGAGGCGUGCAAGGGCCAUGUUUGGGCAGGUGCCUGGAAUGGAGGAGGCCUUGGUAAGUAAGCAUUCAUGAGCGAACCUCCCCUCUGCCGGCUCACAUGUCCCACUCCCUCACAUGUGGGCCAGUGUGUUGUCACCCUCUCUGCAGUGAGGAAACUGAGGCCCAGCCCAACGGCAGAGCCAGCCCAGCUGUCUGGGCAGCCCGACUCCAGAGCCGGGCAGGGAAUUGCCUCCUUUCACGUUCAGGGUGACUAUGCCAGUGCUCACAGUGACGGGUGGGCCGGGGCCAGCUGGCCUAGGGUCUGCCUUGCCAUCUGGCGACACCAUAUCGCUCUUCCAUCCUGGCAUUUGGAUUUUGUUACCAACAGCUUCACCAAACCGCCUUUCAUGACACCCAGGACAGCCACGAGGCUGCCCCUGCCCCUGCCCUGCCUCAGUGGGACUCACAGCAGCUCAGAGGCUGGAGGGAGGUCUGGAAGCCCCUAGUGCUCAGUAGAGCAGUGAGAUGGGAGAGAAGCAGCUGGGGAAGGAGGCCAGGUGAGCCUGGUGGGAGGCCUCUCAGUUUCUGCACACUUGGGAACAUUCCAGAGUGACUGGCAUUUCCCAUGACUUUCUCUGGGAUGAAGUGAGGCUGAGAAUGUGAAGUUCCCAAGGGUUACAGACGCUUACUGUUGCAGACACAAAUGACUACGCAUUCCAUCACGGGACAGUUUUCCUUUGGAAAGAGAAUGACCCAAUUUCCUUUUUUUCUAAAACUUAAGUCAUUCUGCCAAAUUUCAACAUCCUAAUUUUAAAUCACUGGUAGAACCUCGAUCCUGAAGUCUAUCUUGGCCUCACUACAAGACCCCCAAAGAGCCGUCAUCCCUGAUAAGGUGGUUUUAAGUUUUAGUGAUUGUUAUUUUGCAAUUCUUAGAUUUUAUUCACAAAAUCCACGUGGACUCAAUUCUAGCUCAAGCCAUCUCCAUGUCCCCGGCCACCACUGCCUGCCUGCCCUUCCCUGUUUAUGGGUCUUUGUUUGGAGUCACCUCUUGUUUGCCUCAAAUAAUUAAUUUUGAGUUGCUUUUUCGGGAAGGAAAUGUUCUUGGUGCAAUUUCUGGCCUCUAUGUAGCUGAGAAUGUUUUUUCUGUUGCCUGGACUGGUGCAGCGGGUCUCCCUAUAGUGACCCGGCCAAGCACAGAAGUCUGGGUUUGCAGCUGUGAGACUCCAGACAUCACCCCAUGGUCUCCUGGCGUUGGUGGGUUUGCAGCCAUGAAGCUCCAGCUGUCGCCCCAUGGUCUCCUGGCAUUGGUGGGUUUGCAGCCAUGAAGCUCCAGCUGUCGCCCUGUGGUCUCCGUGGUCUCCUGGCACAGGAUGCUGCUGGGCUACUCAGUUUCUCUCUGUGCUUGUCUGGUGUUUUAUGCUUGAAGUGGAAGAUUUCCACCAGAUUCAUUUUCAUUAAUUUUGCUUGUCCCCGUGAGCCGUUUGAUUAAAUAGAUUCAGAUCUGUCUUCAUUCUAGAAGUUCCUUCUCUUACAUACUCUAUGGCUGCACCGUUCCGGUUGUUCGAGUUUCUUUAUCUGGAAAAUUGCUCCUUCGCCCAGCAGGUUUCUGGCUUCCGUCCUCCAUGUCUGCUUUCUCUCUCCUCAUCUCUGCCUUCCUCCUCCCUGGGGCAUGGGGUGUGGGGCGUGGGGCUGCCGCCGCCUGUGUCUCGGCCUCCUGGUCCGGCUCUGUGCUUGUGGGUGCUGUUCCUUCAGCUCCCAGUGCCUUGAAAGCUGCCGCUGGGUCUCUCCUGAGAUCACCUCCUCACACCUGCCCUCAGCUAAUUCAUGCCCAUCCACCAGCUCCUGUUCCAUUCCCGUCUGUUUCAUCUGAUGUCCCACCAGCUCCUGUUCCAUUCCCAUAUAUUUCCUCUCACCAGCUCCUGUUCCAUCCGCAUCUAUUUCAUCUAUUUCAUCUGACUCCUCACCACCUCCUGUUCCAUUCCUGUCUAUUUCAUCUGACGUCUCACCAGCUCCUGUUCCAUUCCCGUCUAUUUCAUCUGAUGUCUCACCAGCUCCUGUUCCAUCCUUGUCUAUUUCAUCUGAUUUCUCACCAGCUCCUGUUCCAUCCCUGUCUAUUUCAUCUAUUUCAUCUGACUUCUCACCAGCUCCUGCUCCAUUCCCGUCUAUUUCAUCUGAUGUCUCACCAGCUCCUGUUCCAUCCCCGUCUAUGUCAUCUGACUUCUCACCAGCUCCUGUUCCAUCCCCGUCUAUUUCAUCUGACAUCUCACCAGCUCCUGUUCCAUUCCCGUCUAUUUCAUCUGAUGUCUCACCAGCUCCUGUUCCAUCCCCGUCUAUUUCAUCUGAUGUCUCACCAGCUCCUGUUCCAUCCCCGUCUAUUUCAUCUGAUGUCUCACCAGCUCCUGUUCCAUCCCCAGCUAUUUCAUCUAUUUCAUCUAACAUCUCACCAGCUCCUGUUCCAUCCCCAGCUAUUUCAUCUAUUUCAUCUAUUUCAUCUAACGUCUCACCAGCUCCUGUUCCAUUCCCGUCUAUUCAUCUGACUCCUCACCAGCUCCUGUUCCAUCCCCAUCUAUUUCAACUAUUUCAUCUGACGUCUCACCAGCUCCUGUUCCAUCCUUGUCUAUUUCAUCUGAUGUCUCACCAGCUCCUGUUCCAUCCCCAGCUAUUUCAUCUAUUUCAUCUAUUUCAUCUGACAUCUCACCAGCUCCUGUUCCAUCCCCAGCUAUUUCAUCUAUUUCAUCUGACAUCUCACCAGCUCCUGUUCCAUUCCCAUCUAUUUCAUCUGACAUCUCACCAGCUCCUGUUCCAUCCCCAGCUAUUUCAUCUAUUUCAUCUAUUUCAUCUGACAUCUCACCAGCUCCUGUUCCAUCCCCAGCUAUUUCAUCUAUUUCAUCUGACGUCUCACCAGCUCCUGUUCCAUUCCCAUCUAUUUCAUCUAUUUCAUCUGACAUCUCGCCAGCUCCUGUUCCAUUCCCAUCUAUUUCAUCUGACAUCUCACCAGCUCCUGUUCCAUUCCCAUCUAUUUCAUCUGACAUCUCACCAGCUCCUGUUCCAUCCCUGUCUAUUCCCGUCUAUUUCAUCUGACAUCUCACCAGCUCCUGUUCCAUCCUCGUCUAUUUCAUCUGACCUCUCACCAGCUCCUGUUCCAUUCCUAUUUCAUCUGACAUCUCACCAGCUCCUGUUCCAUUCCCAUCUAUUUCAUCUGACAUCUCACCAGCUCCUGUUCCAUCCCUGUCUAUUCCCGUCUAUUUCAUCUGACAUCUCACCAGCUCCUGUUCCAUCCUCGUCUAUUUCAUCUGACCUCUCACCAGCUCCUGUUCCAUUCCUAUUUCAUCUGACAUCUCACCAGCUCCUGUUCUAUUCCUGUCUAUUUCAUCUAUUUCAUCUGAUGUGUCACCAGCUCCUGUUCCAUUCCCGUCUAUUUCAUCUGAUGUCUCACCAGCUCCUGUUCCAUCCCCAUCUAUUUCAUCUGAUGUCUCACCAGCUCCUGUUCUAUUCCUGUCUAUUUCAUCUGCCAUCUCACCAGCUCCUGUUCCAUCCCCGUCUAUUUCAUCUGACGUCUCACCAGCUCCUGUUCCAUUCCCAUCUAUUUCAUCUGACAUCUCACCAGCUCCUGUUCCAUUCCCAUCUAUUUCAUCUGACAUCUCACCAGCUCCUGUUCCAUUCCCAUCUAUUUCAUCUGACAUCUCAGCACCCAGUGCCUACACUUAAUGAUUUCCUGAAUUUUUCCAGUGAAACUAGCGCCUAAAUGUAUUCUUUCUUCCUUCAGAAAGUGUUUUUAAUCCGCAGGUUGAGUACUGUGUUUUCCUGAUUUGAUAAAACAGAAUAUUUUUAUAGCUCUGCCAGUUUUCCUUUUCUUCCUCAUGAAUAAUCAGUGUGAUUCAGCUGGGACUUUCCCUGUUGAACAGGGAGAGUGGGUUUUUCCAGCCUCUCCUCCUUUUCACUCCGCUGUGGUUGAACUCCUACUUACUCUUUCGGCAGAUGGUGUUUGCCAAGUUAGUUUUGCAGCUGCCUGGGGGUACUGGGGUGGAAGCAGCCCCGGGAAACCCCAUGGGGGACUUUGUGUCUUUUACUCCAUCACAGCGAAGCCACGGGGCUGGGCCAGGCCCUGCCCUUUGGGAACGGGCUCCUCCGGUGCUGGCCUUGGCCUUGGCCCCACUUCAUCCUGGCCCCUGCCCAGGCUUCCAGCCCCUGCCCACAGCUGCCCCCUCCAGGGGCUGCCACUGUCCAGGUCAGGGAAGGCUCUUCCUACCUGGGGAGAGGACGCCCUGGCCAGGAACUGUCCCUCAGCUUUCUGUGGUCUCUGUGUCCCCCGUGCCCUCCGGGUGCCCUGCUGGGGCCCUGCCUCCCCUUGUCGCUCAGCCUUCAUGGUAGGGGCUGCGGGUCCCAGCGCCCCUCCUCCUCCUGGUCACUCACCUCCCACUGAAGCAGCCCCGUCCGCACCAGUGUCUGGGAAACCCCAGUGAGGCCCCUCCCUGCCAGACCCCAGGUGUGGGGGCUUCUGCUCCACCUGCUGCAUCUGCCACGGGGCCCUUUGGAGAAAGUGUUUUACCCAAAGAGGCGAGUCCUGGUGAUGCUGGAGCCUGGCCCUCAUUGCUGUCAGCCCCCAGCACCUGGUACAAAGGCCACUCAUCCCAGUCUCUGAGCCCUGAAGACAGCGGAGGGCAGCCUGAGACACAGGACCCUCUCCCACCAGCUCCAGGGGCCAAUGCCAGCCUGGCCAGCGGCCGGGACCAGCACAGAGGCUGUGGAUGGGGAGGGUGGUGCUGGAGGCAGGGGGCAUGCUGGCGGUCUUUUGGGGGUGGUGGACAGCCCCACACCCUGCUUGCAAUGGUGCGUCAGGCAGUGGCCCCUGGUGCCGGCUGCUUCCCCAGCAGUGACCUUGGCUUCUCUUCUGCAAGCCCCUGCCUGCCCCGAGAUGCCAAGCCCCAGGAUCCACCAGAACUGCCCUCGCUGCCUAUGGCCCCGAGCGCCCACCCUCGGGGCUGGACCUUUGCAGGAGGACAAGCCAUGCCGGCCUCAACUAGCGGAGACCUCUGUGGCCACCUACGGGUCCUCUGCACUGUGCGUGGGGCAGUGGGGACGGAGCUUCCUGCCCCCCGGGGCCUGCUCUGCUCCUGCUCCUUGGACCUGGAGGAGCCAUAUCCACACAGACAUGCACGACAAAUGCGGCUGCAGACACGCGUGAUGAAUGCAGCAUGACAAGCCAGACCCAGGAUGGUGCCUCUCCCCGGACAGGAGCACUGGCCCGAGCCUGGCCCUGGGUGAGCUGCACAGCCGUUCCCUGCCUCGAUUUCCCAUCUGAAAUCAGAGCACUCCCUCCACAGGCUGGCGCGAGGACUAAGAUCGGGGUAGACCCGUGACCCUAGGGGAGGGUCCCCACAGGCAUGAGCUCCUUGGCUUUGUUUCACGACGAUCGUGAACACCAAGCAGGCGUAAAGCAUCCCGCAGCGUUUAGGCCCUACCAGAGCAUAGCCUUGGCUGAUGUGGUCCUCACCCACCGUGCCUGGCAUGACAUCUGCCGGCCUAUGCUGAGAGGCCGAGAAAGGAUGAGGGGUGGGGAGGGUAUUCUCUGCAUCUGCCCUCCUGUCCACGGGACACCGGGCCCUGACCUCUGACAGAGGUGAGCAUGGGUCCCAGGUGGGCCCAUCCGAAGCCUGCCUCAGGAGUGUGAAUCUGUGGCUAGGGCCACUUUCCCAGGACACCUGGACAUCAGCUGGCUGAGGUCCCCACCCCUGGAGGCUGGAUCAGAGGGGGCCAGAGGGGAAGGAGGCAGUGUCCAGCCCCUGAGAGGAGCAGGGAGGAGGGAUGAGGCCAGAGUCCGAGGCUGGCGGGCCACCCGGGGGCCACUGCUCCAGGCCUGGUUUGGGAUCACAGAUCACCCUGCUGACACGCUCCCUGUCAGCAUCUGCACGGAGGAGUUUGCUGGCUGUGGCCUGCAGCCCACACAUCCCAACCACAGACACGCUCUUUCCCCACCUUUUGGUCCCUCUAACAACUCAAUGCCCAGAACUUUCUAUUGCCCAGGACUCUCAGGGUCCCUUCGGAGGCCGGACAGACCCUCCCCUCCCCAGGCCUUCGUGCAGCCCCUGCUGCAUGCCAGGCCCACCUUGGUGAGGCUGUGUCGGGCUGAGCUCCUGGUCAUUCUGCAGCUGGCUGGGCCCAGCUCCCUUUCCAGUUGCCCUCAGGCCACCCAGGAGCAGCUGCGUAAGGAUUGCUAAGCCUGAGUUAUCUGCAUCUUUCUUCUUUCACUAAUUUCUUUCUUUUUUUUUUUUUUUUGAGACAGAGUCUCACUCUGUCACCCAGGCUGGAGUGAAGUGGCGUGAUCUCGGCUCACUGCAACCUCUGCCUCCCGGGUUCAAGUGAUUCUCCUGCCUCAGCCUCCCAAGUACCUGGGAUUACAGGCACCCGUCAACACACCUGGCUAAUUUUUGUAUUUUUAGUAGAGACGGGGUUUCACUAUGUUGGCCAGGCUGGUCUCAAACUCCUGACCUCAGGUGAUCCACCCGCCUCGGCCUCCCAAAGUGCUGGGAUUACAGGUGCGAGCCACUGCUCCUUGUCCACUAAUUUCUUUUUCAUGCUGAUAGAUGUCCUGUUCCUGAACCAUCUUUGCAUUUCUAAAAUAAACCACCUGCUUGGGGGUGGUGUGUGAUGAUUUUGACACAUUGGUAGUAUAUUUUUGCUAAUAUUUUAUCCAAACUGUUUGCAUCUAUAGGUACAAGCAACAUAGCUUUAUCAUUUUAUAUGCUCCCCCCCACCACCUUUUUUUGUUUUGAAAUGGAGUUUCGCUCCUUUUGCCCAGUCUGGAGUGAAGUGGUGCAAUCUUGGCUAACCGCAACCUCUGCCUCCCAGGUUCAAGUAAUUCUCCUGCCUCAGCCUCCUGAGUAGCUGGGAUUACAGGCACAUGCCACCACACCUGGCUAAUUUUGUAUUUUUAGUAGUGACAGGGUUUCUCCAUGUUGGUCAGGCUGGUCUCAAACUCCUGACCUCAGCUGAUCCACCCGCCUCGGCCUCCCAAAGUGCUGGGAUUACAGGCUUGAGCCACCGCACCUGGCCCUAUAUGCUCCCUUGACAAAAGCUAUGCCUUCAUAAAUAGGAGGUUUCCCAUCUUUUUCUGUGGCCUAGAAAAGUUAGAAUUAUCUUUUUAAAGGUUAAAUAAAAUUCAACUGGUCUGCACUUUCCUUAAAGAUAAAUAUCCAUCACCUUUCUAAUUUCUCCUGUGGAAGGCGGACUAUUCGAAUAUUCCAGUUCUUCUAGGAUUGAGUUUGGUGAUUUCUAUUCUGCUGGAAAAGCAGCCCUCUCUGUUUUCAUGGGGAUGGACUUGACUGUCUUCAUCAGUCCCAAAAGUCCCAGGGUGGACACUGCUGCCCAGCCUGGGUGAGAUGCUCACCUUCAGCCACGUCUCGGGACAGGAGCUGGGGCAGGCACCAGCCUGGGUCCAAGGUCUCCCGGGACCAGCCUAGGUGGCCACGUGGCCGCCCUGCAGGAAGGAUGGCUCUCCCUUGUGGUGCUGGGGAGGUGACUUCCAUGACAGCGACUGUCACGGACACUUCUGGGAGAGAUGAGAAGGGAACAGAUGAUUUUGGAGCCGUUCAGGUUUCACACACGGUUUUAGUCCCAACAUUGCAGUCCUCAUCGGCAAACGUGAUCCCUCCCCCACCGCGUUGGAACAUUCUGUACCAGGUUGUAUCUUAUUGUUUGAAAACAAGUUCUGCUAGUUAAUUGGUUCGGGAGCAGCACGGGUAAGUAACCUCCCCAUCUUCCCAACUUGGAAUGUCUGCCUCUUUGUAGAUGUAUCAUUGUUGAUAGGCUUUUUAUUAAAGUUAAAUUCCCUUUAUGUUUUUAACGUUUGAUUAUAAUUUAAUGUCUUCAUUUUUCUUUUUAAGCAUUUCAAAUACCUGACAGGAAACAUUUGCAAAACAGACAGCCAGACUUGUCAAACACUUAAAUUACUCUUAUCCUUUUAAUAAAUCAAGCUCAUAGCAAACCAAAUGCACUUAAACAUUCUAAUAGCUUCACAAACUUAGUUACUGAACAUCUCCCAGCUUAAAGUUAUAACUCUAAUAGAAAUAAUACAUUAUCCCUAAACUGUACUUUAAAAAUGACUAUGCACUUUGGGAAGCUGAGGCAGUGGGUCACUUGAGACCAGCCUGGGCAACGUGGUGAAACCCCGUCUCUACUGAAAAUACAAAAAGUAGCCGGGUGCCUGUAGUCUCAGCUAGUUGGGAAGCUGAGGUGAGAGAAUCACUUGAGCCCAAGAAGUUGAGGCUGUAGUGAGUAGUGAUCACACCACUGCACUCCAGUCUGGGCAAUGGGAAUGAGACCCUGUCUCAAAAUAGUAAUAAUAAUAAUAAUAAUAAUAAUAAAUAAUGACUGAUACAAAGAGUUGGCUCACUGAAUUAUUUCUAGUAAAUUUUUGUUUGUUUCUAUAUAGUAUGGUUUAUUGCUGACUUUGACAUAUCUGUAAAGAAUUUAACAUUUUGGCCAGG